rnacentral:rRNA from 1 species
UACGUAGGGGGGCAAGCGUUUGUCCGGAGUUACUGGGCGUAAAGCGCACGCAGGCGGUCUUUUAAGUUUGGAGUGACAGUUGGUGGCUUAACUGCCAAAGUGCUUCGAAAACUGACAGACUUGAGGGCUUCAGAGGGACACGGAAUUCCGGGUGUAGCGGUGGAAUGCGUAGAGAUCCGGAAGAACACCGGUGGCGAAGGCGGUCUGCUGGGGUAAUGCUGACACUGAUGCGCGACAGCGUGGGGAGCAAACAGG